UACGGAGGGGGCUAGCGUUGUUCGGAAUUACUGGGCGUAAAGCGCACGUAGGCGGAUUGUUAAGUGAGGGGUGAAAUCCCGGAGCUCAACUCCGGAACUGCCUUUCAUACUGGCAAUCUAGAGUCCGGAAGAGGUGAGUGGAACUCCUAGUGUAGAGGUGGAAUUCGUAGAUAUUAGGAAGAACACCAGUGGCGAAGGCGGCUCACUGGUCCGGUACUGACGCUGAGGUGCGAAAGCGUGGGGAGCAAACAGG
rnacentral:rRNA from 1 species